rnacentral:lncRNA from 1 species
AGAUACGUGGCCUUCCUGGAGCUGUUCCUGCAGACGGCGGAGAAGCACUUCAUGGUGGGACACAGGGUCACCUGCUACGUGUUCACCGACCGGCCGGGGGAUGUGCCCCGCGUGCCCCUCGGGGAAGGGAGGCAGGUGGGGGUCCUGGAGGUCCGGAGCUACUCGCGCCGGCAGGACGUGUCCGUGCACCGCGUGGAGAUGAUCCGCAACUUCUCCCGGCGGCGCUUCCUCCACGAGGUGGACCCUCCGGUGUGCGCGGACGUGGACGUGAGGUUCCGCGACCGCGUGGGCGUGGCGAUCCUGUCCCCGCUCUUCGGCACCCUGCACCCCGGCUUCUACGGGGCGGCCCGCGAGGCCUUCACCUACGAGCGCCGGCCGCAGUCCCAGGCACACGUCCCCAGGGACGAGGGCGAGUUGUACUACGCGGGAGGCUUUUUCGGGGGGUCGGUGGCCGAGGCUCUGCGGCUCACGUCGGCCUGUCACCAGGCCACGGUGGUCGACCGGGCCCACGGCAUCGAGGCGGUGUGGCACGACGAGAGCCACCUGAACAGGUACCUGCUGGACCACAAGCCCACCAAGGUGCUGUCCCCCGAGUACCUGUGGGACGAACAACUGCUGGGCUGGCCCGCCGUCGUGAAGAAGCUGAGGUAUGUGACCGUGCCCAAGAGUCACCGGGGCAUCCGGGACUGAUGA